GCUGGGCGGGCCGGGCUGGGCGGCCCCGGCGGCGGGGGCGGUCCGCUCCCGGAGGCCGCGCCUCCUUUGCACCCUCCUUCCUGAAGAUGGCCGCGCAGGCCAGGGCUCCGGCACCCGGCUGCGGACCAGAUCCCCUGGGCUGCACCCGGCCUUGCGCCCCUGGUCCGCGCUCGCAGGCUCGGAAACGGGCGGUCCUCCCGAGGCUGAAAGGGAGAAGAGGGUAGUGAUUAUGAGGUUGGACCCCGGAGUUAGACAGUCUGGGUGCAAAUGCUGUAUGACCUUGGACAAAGCAUGGCACCCGAGUUUUCUCACCAACAAAAUGAGGGUACUGAUAGAAACUUCGAGUUGUUUUAAAUAUGACAUGCAUUCAUAUACCAUGUUUCAUUGAUUUUUAAGACAUGCAUUUUUCACGUUUUAACACUUCUGAAAAGGAGGUGCAAUUUACAACUGAUAGUGUGGCAUAGUUUAAGUGUCUCAGUGGUAUGACAAAUAAUGCUGUAUCUUAUGAUCAGUGACAUCUUAGAUGUGAUGAAAUUCAGGAUAUAAAGAGCUUAGAAAAAUACAUAGCACAUAGAAAGUAUAACAUAAAUAUUUACUAGAUGAUAUAGAUACAAAAUAUGGACAUAGCUCUUUUUUUUUUAUUAUUAUUAUUUUCCCACUGUACAGCAAGGGGGUCAGGUCAUCCUUAGAUGUAUACAUUGCAGUUACAGUUUUUUCCCCCACCCUUUCUUCUGUUGCGACAUGAGUAUCUAGACAUAGUUCUCAAUGCUAUUCAGCAGGAUCUCCUUAUAAAUCUAUUCUAGGUUGUGUCUGAUAAGCCCAAGCUCCCGAUCCCUCCCACUCCCUCCCCCUCCCAUCAGGCAACCACAAGUCUCUUCUCCAAGUCCAUGAUUUUCUCUUCUGAGGAGAUGUUCAUUUGUGCUGGAUAUUAGAUUCCAGUUAUAAGUGAUAUCAUAUGGUAUUUGUCUUUGUCUUUCUGGCUCAUUUCACUCAGUAUGAGAUUCUCUAGUUCCAUCCAUGUUGCUGCAAAUGGCAUGAUGUCAUCCUUUUUUAUGUCUGAGUAGUAUUCCAUUGUGUAUAUAUACCACUUCUUCCGAAUCCAAUCAUCUGUCGAUGGACAUUUGGGUUGUUUCCAUGUCCUGGCUAUUGUGAAUAGGGCUGCAAUGAACAUGCGGGUGCAUGUGUCUCUUUUAA
rnacentral:lncRNA from 1 species